CUGGACAGAGCACAGAAUUGCUUCUUAAGUCAGCCCGGCGCGGUUGCAAUAGACAGCAAAAAGGUAAACGUUUGCCUGAAAUCCGCACGCCAGCUCCACCGCCCCGCCCGAUGGUCCCAGUUCCUCUGGGAAUCGUCCUGUAUGCAACAUCUUCACAAGAGUGGCAGGCAGUUGAAUCUCUGGCCUUCGUGGGACCACUGGACAUCUGGCAGAGAACCAGGAAACCACGGUUCCCUUCUGUGAGUCCCUCAGCCGGAAAACUACAAGAUGAGUGUAAGGCCAUUAUCAUGGACUUUUUCCCCAGCUGCAGGUGAUGGUCUUGUUUUCCCAAGCUGCUACAGAGCUUCUGCAGCUCCAAGCAUGACCACUAUAUUUGGCUGCUUAAAAGCAUAACAAGGGCAGAAAUCAUAAAGGCUUUGCCCAGAGGGCCUUGAUUGUCCUUGCCUUCUUGUCCUUUGGUGAGAACUUCAUUGGUGGUGGCUCCAAAAAUCAGGAGACUUUCUGUGAUGAAUUCACCAUAAGAACGUGGGACCCAGCCUCCCUUGAAGGACGUCCUAUAUGAUGCCUGUUUCCAAGGGAAGAAGUAAAGUCAAGAA
rnacentral:lncRNA from 1 species